rnacentral:rRNA from 1 species
CAGUAGCCGCGGUAAUACGUAGGGUGCAAGCGUUAAUCGGAAUUACUGGGCGUAAAGCGUGCGCAGGCGGUUCUAUAAGACAGAUGUGAAAUCCCCGGGCUCAACCUGGGAACUGCAUUUGUGACUGUAGAGCUGGAGUACGGCAGAGGGGGAUGGAAUUCCGCGUGUAGCAGUGAAAUGCGUAGAUAUGCGGAGGAACACCGAUGGCGAAGGCAAUCCCCUGGGCCUGUACUGACGCUCAUGCACGAAAGCGUGGGGAGCAAACAGGAUUAGAUACCCCCGUAGUCCCUGUCUCUUAUAC